AAUAACGAAUCUUUAUUUACGCGACUUUCCGAUAAGUUAAGACUGACCUUGGUUUUAUUACGUAAAAUAAAGUAGAUAAAUUAAUAUACGCACGAAUACCAAGGAAAAGGAAAAAAAAGGUUCACGAUUCGAAGAGAGACAUUCGUCUAACGGGUAUUGUAAAAAUAACUUCAUUGCUCAUGAGAGAAAUUCCUUUAAAGGCACAAAUUUCUCGAAAUGGUCGCAUUAAAGUCUUUAAAAAAAAAAGAAAAAAAGAAAUAAGUCAAUGUUGUUGAUUUAAGCUCGACUCUGCGCAAACUGUAAAUCUUCUGUUACGGCAACGAUGAUGUAACACAACGCAUUCGCUAUGUCGUCUCUUCGAAGAAACGUAAAAUACCGAGUGUGGAGAAUUAGAGUCAAAGUUAGAGUUAGAAUUAGAGUUAGAGUUAGACUUAGAGUUAGAGUUAGAAAGAAGAGGAAGACUGAAGUUGAAUCUGAAACGGUGCACGUCAUUUAUCGGUACUCUGUGAAAUCUCGGUCAAAUCGUUUUCCAUUACUAUACAACUAUAACAGGUAGUGUUAUUUUCGAAGAAAUGAAAGAUAAAUAUUCCUCGGGUCGCAUUCUAAUCUGACUUUAACUAUUUCCUCACGGCACGUUUGUUUAAGACUCUCCGACAAAUGUGUUUAUUCUGCAUUAGGACCUGUAAGUUCAAACACAGCUAAUAAAACAAAAUUAGUAAAUUGUCUUAGAAA